AGAUUGAACGCUGGCGGCAUGCCUUACACAUGCAAGUCGAACGGCAGCACGGGAGCAAUCCUGGUGGCGAGUGGCGAACGGGUGAGUAAUACAUCGGAACGUGCCCAAUCGUGGGGGAUAACGCAGCGAAAGCUGUGCUAAUACCGCAUAAGAUCUACGGAUGAAAGCAGGGGAUCGCAAGACCUUGCGCGAAUGGAGCGGCCGAUGGCAGAUUAGGUAGUUGGUGAGGUAAAGGCUCACCAAGGCGACGAUCUGUAGCUGGUUUGAGAGGACGACCAGCCACACUGGGACUGAGACACGGCCCAGACUCCUACGGGAGGCAGCAGUGGGGAAUUUUGGACAAGUGGGGGAAACCCUGAUCCAGCCAUCCCGCGUGUGCGAUG
rnacentral:rRNA from 1 species